AGUUUUAAUAAUUUAAUAAAAAUAUCGGUCUUGUAAAUCGAAUUUAAGAAUUUUCUUUUAAAACU
rnacentral:tRNA from 1 species